GGCGGACGGGUGAGUAAUGCAUCGGAACGUACCGUGUAGUGGGGGAUAACGUAGCGAAAGUUACGCUAAUACCGCAUACGCCCCGAGGGGGAAAGUGGGGGACCGCAAGGCCUCACGCUAUAUGAGCGGCCGAUGUCGGAUUAGCUAGUUGGUGGGGUAAAGGCCUACCAAGGCGACGAUCCGUAGCGGGUCUGAGAGGAUGAUCCGCCACACUGGGACUGAGACACGGCCCAGACUCCUACGGGAGGCAGCAGUGGGGAAUUUUGGACAAUGGGCGCAAGCCUGAUCCAGCCAUGCCGCGUGAGUGAAGAAGGCCUUCGGGUUGUAAACCGCUUUUGUCAGGGAAGAAAUCUUCUGAGUUAAUACCUCGGGAGGAUGACGGUACCUGAAGAAUAAGCACCGGCUAACUACGUGCCAGCAGCCGCGGUAAU
rnacentral:rRNA from 1 species